rnacentral:rRNA from 1 species
UUGACCUCAGAUCAGGUAGGACUACCGCCUGAACUUAAGCAUAUCAAUAAGGCGAGGAACAGAAACCAACAGGGAUUCCCCUAGUAGUGGCGAAUGAAGCGGGAAAAGCUCAAGUUUGAAAUCUGGUGGGCUCGUCCCCUCAGAGUUGUAAGCUGAAGAGGCAUUGACCGACGUUGUCCGGGCCCAAUUUCCUUGGAACAGGAAGUCAUGGAGGGUGAGAACCCCGUCUGUGGCUCGGAGCCUUCGUCCUUGUGUCGUGUCCUCGAAGAGUCGGGUUGUUUGGGAAUGCAGCUCAAAAUGGGUGGUAAAUUCCAUCUAAGGCUAAAUAUUGGCGAGAGACCGAUAGCAAACAAGUAGAGUGAUCGAAAGAUGAAAAGUACUUUGAAAAGAGAGUGAAACAGUACGUGAAAUUGUUGAAAGGGAAGCGUUUGGCAUCAGCCCAUGGCGUUCAUCAAUCAUCCAGGCUUCUGCCUGGUGCACUUGAUGGACGUCGGGCCAGCGUCGGCUUUGCCCGCCGGAUAAAGGUCUUGGGGAUGUGGCACCCUUCGGGGUGCGUUAUAACCCUUGACGUCAUGCGGUGUGGUGGGGCCGAGGUCUGCGG